rnacentral:rRNA from 1 species
UACAGAGGGGGCAAGCGUUGUUCGGAAUUACUGGGCGUAAAGGGCGCGUAGGCGGCCUGCUAAGUCGAACGUGAAAUCCCCGAGCUCAACUCGGGAACUGCGUCCGAUACUGGCAGGCUUGAAUCCGGGAGAGGGAUGCGGAAUUCCAGGUGUAGCGGUGAAAUGCGUAGAUAUCUGGAGGAAUACCGAUGGCGAAGGCAGGUCUCUGGGCUGACACUGACGCUCAUGCACGAAAGCGUGGGGAGCAAACAGG